rnacentral:rRNA from 1 species
AGAGUUUGAUCCUGGCUCAGGACGAACGCUGGCGGCGUGCCUAACACAUGCAAGUCGAGCGAUGAAACCCUUCGGGGUGGAUUAGCGGCGGACGGGUGAGUAACACGUGGGUAACCUGCCUCAAAGAAGGGAAUAGCCUCCCGAAAGGGAGAUUAAUACCGCAUAAUAUGUUUUGGUCGCAUGACUAGAACAUCAAAGGAAUUUUCUUCGGAUUAUUCCACUUUGAGAUGGACCCGCGGCGCAUUAGCUAGUCGGUGAGGUAACGGCUCACCAAGGCAACGAUGCGUAGCCGACCUGAGAGGGUGAUCGGCCACAUUGGAACUGAGACACGGUCCAGACUCCUACGGGAGGCAGCAGUGGGGAAUAUUGCGCAAUGGGGGAAACCCUGACGCAGCAACGCCGCGUGAAUGAUGAAGGCCUUCGGGUUGUAAAGUUCUGUCUUCUGGGACGAUAAUGACGGUACCAGAGGAGGAAGCCACGGCUAACUACGUGCCAGCAGCCGCGGUAAUACGUAGGUGGCAAGCGUUGUCCGGAUUUACUGGGCGUAAAGGUUGCGUAGGCGGACAUUUAAGUCAGAUGUGAAAUACCCGAGCUUAACUUGGGUGCUGCAUUUGAAACUGGGUGUCUAGAGUGCAGGAGAGGUAAGUGGAAUUCCUAGUGUAGCGGUGAAAUGCGUAGAGAUUAGGAAGAACACCAGUGGCGAAGGCGACUUACUGGACUGUAACUGACGCUGAGGCAUGAAAGCGUGGGGAGCAAACAGGAUUAGAUACCCU